GGUGAUUCUCAGGUGACACACCCCAGAAUCGGGCUCCCUCCUCUCUGGUUCCGGAUGCAUCACCAGAGAACCGCA
rfam:Myotis lucifugus cont2.14641, whole genome shotgun sequence.